rnacentral:misc_RNA from 1 species
GAUGAAGAACGUAGCGAAAUGCGAUAAGUAGUGUGAAUUGCAGAAUUCAGUGAAUCAUCGAAUCUUUGAACGCACAUUGCGCCCUUUGGUAUUCCUUAGGGCAUGCCUGUUCGAGCGUCAUUUAAACCUUCAAGCUAAGCUUGGUGUUGGGUGACUGUCCGCUUCACUGCGGACUCGCCUCAAAAUUAUUGGCGGCCGGUACAUUGGCUUCGAGCGCAGCAGAAACGCGAACUCGGGCCGUCGUAUUGGCUCCCAGAAGCUAUCUUCACAAUUUUGACCUCGGAUCAGGUAGGGAUACCCGCUGAACUUAAGCAUAUCAAUAAGCGGAGGA